rnacentral:rRNA from 1 species
CCUACGGGAGGCAGCAGUGGGGAAUAUUGGGCAAUGGAGGAAACUCUGACCCAGCAACGCCGCGUGAAUGAUGAAGGUCUUCGGAGUGUAAAGUUCUUUUCAAAGGGAAGAAGAAAGAGACGGUACCUUCGGAAUAAGCAUCCGCUAACUACGUGCCAUCAGCCGCGGUAAUACGUAGGAGGCGAGCUUUAUCCGGAAUGACUGGGCGUAAAGGGUGCGUAGAUGGGUUGUCAAGUUAGUAGAGUAACUCCAAGGCUCAACCUUGAAACUACUACUAAAACUGUUGGACCUGAGUACAGUAGGGGCAACCGGAAUUCCUAGUGUAGCGGUGGAAUGCUUAGAUAUUACGAGGAACCCCAGUGGCGAAGGCAGGUUGCUAGACUGUAACUGACACUGAGGCACGAAAGCGUGGGGAGCAAACAGGAUUAGAUACCCGGGUAGUC